GAACGCUUGCGGCGUGCUUAACACAUGCAAGUCGAACGAGAAAGGGGACUUCGGUUCCUGAGUAAAGUGGCGCACGGGUGAGUAACGCGUAGAUAAUCUACCCUAGUGUACGGGACAACAUCGGGAAACUGGUGCUAAUACCGAAUACGCUUCUUUAGAUGCGAAUUUUUAGAAGGAAAGGUGGCCUCUUCAUGAAAGCUACUGCACAAGGAUGAGUCUGCGUACCAUUAGCUAGUUGGUGGGGUAAUGGCCUACCAAGGCUUCGAUGGUUAGCGGGUCUGAGAGGAUGAUCCGCCACACUGGCACUGGAACACGGGCCAGACUCCUACGGGAGGCAGCAGUGAGGAAUUUUGCACAAUGGGGGCAACCCUGAUGCAGCGACGCCGCGUGAGUGAUGAAGGCCCUUGGGUCGUAAAGCUCUGUCAAUAGGGAAGAAAUGUCUAAUGGUUAAUACCCAUAAGAUUUGACGGUACCUAUAAAGGAAGCACCGGCUAAAUCCGUGCCAGCAGCCGCGGUAAUACGGAUGGUGCGAGCGUUGUUCGGAAUUACUGGGCGUAAAGGGCGCGUAGGCGGCGUGUCAAGUCAGAUGUGAAAGCCCACGGCUCAACCGUGGAAGUGCAUCUGAAACUGGCAUGCUUGAGUACUGGAGAGGAAAGUGGAAUUCCUGGUGUAGAGGUGAAAUUCGUAGAUAUCAGGAGGAAUACCGGUGGCGAAGGCGACUUUCUGGACAGAUACUGACGCUGAGGCGCGAAAGCGUGGGGAGCA
rnacentral:rRNA from 1 species